GCCCCGGUAGCUCAGUGGUAGAGCUCCUGUAUGUGGUGAGCGAAAGCGCCUAGCAAUAACUACGAGGAGGUCGCAGGUUCGGUUGAAUCCUGCCCAAUGGCU
rnacentral:tRNA from 1 species